rnacentral:rRNA from 1 species
AUUGAACGCUGGCGGCAGGCUUAACACAUGCAAGUCGAACGGUAACAUAAAGAAGCUUGCUUCUUUGAUGACGAGCGGCGGACGGGUGAGUAAUGCUUGGGAACCUAGCUUAUGGAGGUGGAUAACUACGGGAAACUGUAGCUAAUACCGCGUAGAAUCGAUAGAUGAAAGUGUGGGACCUUCGGGCCACAUGCAAUAGGAUGAGCCAAAGUGGGAUUAGGUAGUCGGUGAGGUAAAGGCUCAACAAGCCAACGAUCUCUAGCUGGUCUGAGAGGAUGACCAGCCACACUGGGACUGAGACACGGCCCAGACUCCUACGGGAGGCAGCAGUGGGGAAUAUUGCGCAAUGGGGGCAACCCUGACGCAGCCAUGCCGCGUGAAUGAAGAAGGCCUUCGGGUUGUAAAGUUCUUUCGGUAGCGAGGAAGGCAUUUAGUUUAAUAGACUAGGUGAAUGACGUUAACUACAGAAGAAGCACCGGCUAACUCCGUGCCAGCAGCCGCCGUAAUAC